UACGUAGGGCGCAAGCGUUAUCCGGAAUUAUUGGGCGUAAAGAGCUCGUAGGCGGUUUGUCGCGUCUGCCGUGAAAGUCCGGGGCUCAACUCCGGAUCUGCGGUGGGUACGGGCAGACUAGAGUGAUGUAGGGGAGACUGGAAUUCCUGGUGUAGCGGUGAAAUGCGCAGAUAUCAGGAGGAACACCGAUGGCGAAGGCAGGUCUCUGGGCAUUAACUGACGCUGAGGAGCAAAAGCAUGGGGAGCGAGCAGG
rnacentral:rRNA from 1 species